rnacentral:rRNA from 1 species
UUGAACGCUGGCGGCAGGCCUAACACAUGCAAGUCGAACGGUAACAGGAAGCAGCUUGCUGCUUUGCUGACGAGUGGCGGACGGGUGAGUAAUGUCUGGGAAACUGCCUGAUGGAGGGGGAUAACUACUGGAAACGGUAGCUAAUACCGCAUAACGUCGCAAGACCAAAGAGGGGGACCUUAGGGCCUCUUGCCAUCGGAUGUGCCCAGAUGGGAUUAGCUAGUAGGUGGGGUAACGGCUCACCUAGGCGACGAUCCCUAGCUGGUCUGAGAGGAUGACCAGCCACACUGGAACUGAGACACGGUCCAGACUCCUACGGGAGGCAGCAGUGGGGAAUAUUGCACAAUGGGCGCAAGCCUGAUGCAGCCAUGCCGCGUGUAUGAAGAAGGCCUUCGGGUUGUAAAGUACUUUCAGCGGGGAGGAAGGGAGUAAAGUUAAUACCUUUGCUCAUUGACGUUACCCGCAGAAGAAGCACCGGCUAACUCCGUGCCAGCAGCCGCGGUAAUACGGAGGGUGCAAGCGUUAAUCGCAAUUACUGGGCGUAAAGCGCACGCAGGCGGUUUGUUAAGUCAGAUGUGAAAUCCCCGGGCUCAACCUGGGAACUGCAUCUGAUACUGGCAAGCUUGAGUCUCGUAGAGGGGGGUAGAAUUCCAGGUGUAGCGGUGAAAUGCGUAGAGAUCUGGAGGAAUACCGGUGGCGAAGGCGGCCCCCUGGACGAAGACUGACGCUCAGGUGCGAAAGCGUGGGGAGCAAACAGGAGUCGAUACACUGGUAGUCCACGCCGUAAACGAUGUCGACUUGGAGGUUGUGCCCUUGAGGCGUGGCUUCCGGAGCUAACGCGUUAAGUCGACCGCCUGGGGAGUACGGCCGCAAGGUUAAAACUCAAAUGAAUUGACGGGGGCCCGCACAAGCGGUGGAGCAUGUGGUUUAAUUCGAUGCAACGCGAAGAACCUUACCUGGUCUUGACAUCCACGGAAGUUUUCAGAGAUGAGAAUGUGCCUUCGGGAACCGUGAGACAGGUGCUGCAUGGCUGUCGUCAGCUCGUGUUGUGAAAUGUUGGGUUAAGUCCCGCAACGAGCGCAACCCUUAUCCUUUGUUGCCAGCGGUCCGGCCGGGAACUCAAAGGAGACUGCCAGUGAUAAACUGGAGGAAGGUGGGGAUGACGUCAAGUCAUCAUGGCCCUUACGACCAGGGCUACACACGUGCUACAAUGGCGCAUACAAAGAGAAGCGACCUCGCGAGAGCAAGCGGACCUCAUAAAGUGCGUCGUAGUCCGGAUUGGAGUCUGCAACUCGACUCCAUGAAGUCGGAAUCGCUAGUAAUCGUGGAUCAGAAUGCCACGGUGAAUACGUUCCCGGGCCUUGUACACACCGCCCGUCACACCAUGGGAGUGGGUUGCAAAAGAAGUAGGUAGCUUAACCUUCGGGAGGGCGCUUACCACUUUGUGAUUCAUGACUGGGGUG